rnacentral:rRNA from 1 species
CUAUGCGCCUUGCCAGCCCGCUCAGUCAGAGUUUGAUCCUGGCUCAGGAUGAACGCUAGCGGCAGGCCUAAUACAUGCAAGUCGAACGGUAAGUGUUAUAGCAAUAUGACACCAAGAGUGACGCACGGGUGCGUAACACGUAUGCAACCUACCCUUUACAGGCGGAUAGCUCGGGGAAACUCGAAUUAACCCGCCAUAAUAUAAUUGAAUGGCAUCAUUUGGUUAUUAAAUCUGAGGAGGUAAAGGAUGGGCAUGCGUCUGAUUAGCUAGUUGGUAGUGUAAUGGACUACCAAGCGAUGAUCAGUAGGGGAACUGAGAGGUUGAUCCCCCACACUGGCACUGAGAUACGGGCCAG